GUGCGGCUCUGGCGCUGGCGGGAGGCGUAGCGCUUCGCUAGCGCCGCCGCUGCUGCGGAGGCUGUGUGUGAAGGUGAAGCGGCCGGGGCGCUCGUACCUAAGGUGCCAGGCUUCUCCAAGGAACUAAAAUAAAUAAAAAGGAAAACACAAUUUUGAUGUGCUCCAUCUGCUGUGAUUUCAACAGAUGCUCCAAGUAGAUGCUCUGAGAAUAGGACCCAAAAAUCAGCGCCAAACCUCCCUUCUCCAGAAAAUUAACUCUGCGCACCUCCAGCCCACUAGCACCUUCCCAGCCAGUAUUUAUCUCUAACCACACUUUUGAAGAAUCACGCCGCACAUUCUGUAUAAUGUUCAGGAUGAGGCCAGUUGUACGUGUUCAGGACUUGUGACCAUGUGAAUGGGGCCAAAAAUGGCGCAGUGAAAAUGAAAUCAAACAAGUAUGUUUCAAGAUGAUGCUUCUUGGGCUGUUUCUCCAAACAGAUUAGGUUUGAAGAAAAGAAGAGAGAGACUUCACCUUAAAUGCAUAGCCUUGACCUGUGUCAGGGCAGCACCAGAGUACUGCCAUUUCGAUGGCACCUAAAACCACAUGGGCAUGAUGAUGCUUUUUUCUGAGCCAUCCUCCGAAAGUGAUUUUUGAGAAAGGAAAAUGAGACAGCUGGAUCACAACAUUAUAAAUGAAGAUCUGUGUAAAUGUUGUGGUUCACGGUCAGCUGCUUUCCCUUUGUCUCUCGGAAUAAAAACCCAUGCUGGGAAGAAAUCUACAAAAGGCAGGCACUGAAGUGAGGAAGAGUGGACAUGGAAGGUCUCCAUGAGCCCAGUGAGGUGGGGAGAUGAAGAGACAGUUUAGAGGCAAACCUGGGGGUCUCUGAUUCCACGACACUCUGCGCCAUGCCUGAGAAUGGAAGCUUUCCUUCCCAUGGGGUGAUGAUGAGAACUGUAAAGCUUUAGAAGAACAAAAGCGUACUCUCUGACGUGUACCUUCAUGCCUGGUAAAAGGAAAAAGAGCUGACAGACCCCCAUCUCUGAGUCUGCUCACACAGGCACUGCAAGACCUCUGGUGGCCAGUGAGUGCGUGGGGCCUAUGCCAUGGCUUUGUCGUCUGUAAAAUAAUGGUGUAUGAAACUAAGCCUACAGUCAGCCUCAAAUCUGGCACAGCAAUUUCUGACUUUGACCUUUUUUCAAAUACGUGUCUAUGUGAAUAACAACUAUCUGAAAGGUUUUUUUUGUUGUGGAAAACUGGGAUAAGCCGCUUUGUUGCCUUGUGCCCUGGCUGUUAGGAUGUCGAAUCAACAUUUUAUCAUUAUCAAGUCCUGCUGUCAUUCUCCAAAAGGCUGUCCUCCCAAACCAUUAGUAAUGAUUUGACAGAUAAAGUAUUAAUAUGACAUGGUAAAAUGCUUGUUUCUGUCUACAAAUAUAAAAUUUGAUAUUAUAAUGAUAUAUUGGAUCUCUUUCUCUGUAGGACACGUAGAGAUUACCAUUUCCAAAAUCUAGUAGGGACCUUAUCACAUUUAAGUAAAGUUGUUUUUAGUUCUACUUAGAAAAUAGUAUGCUUUAUAUGAGAUCUCAAGCCACUCCUUUAGCAUUUACACAAUUACCUUCUCUCUUAAUGCUUUUUCUUUGGCUGAUGAGAGAAGGUUGGUGCUGACAUACAUACUUCCCACAAUUUCUAAAUGUAAAUUGUCACUUGCGGUCAAUGGCAAACACUUACCCAUUGGGCUUGCAAUAAUGAAAAUAAAGUUUAUUAUCUUAUGUGCUAUCCUUAUUCAAAGAUGAUUCAGCCAUCCAUAUAUUUGAGAACUGCUCUUACUUAUCAGUAUAAUGUUUUAGGAGAGUAGAAUUGUAUGUGAAUUCUGUUUCUGAUUCCCUGUAACAGUCCAAUAAAAAAUAAAAUCAAGUAAGGAAAUAAACUGAGUCUAUCUGUUAUUAAAUAUUGAAUUGAGUACCAUCUUAUGAGAAGACAUGCAG